GGUCUCUGAUCAGCUAUCCUGCCUGACACAGGAACCAGAGUGAGAAGUCCGAACCAGAACACCUGUUAUGCGAAUGUUAUGUGUAUGAUGCUAAUGCAUAUGAUGCACAUGAUAAUGAUCAUCUCUCAGGCCUUCAAAGAGUCUGAUUCAUCUUCGAAAAAAAGCAAUCUGCAGCAACGGCACAGUAUACAAGAGCAAUGAGUACCGAGUGAA
rnacentral:lncRNA from 1 species